AGUAACACGUGAGCAACCUGCCCUAGGCUUUGGGAUAACCCUCGGAAACGGGGGCUAAUACCGAAUAUGACCUUAUGCCGCAUGGUGUUUGGUGGAAAGUUUUUCGGCCUGGGAUGGGCUCGCGGCCUAUCAGCUUGUUGGUGGGGUGAUGGCCUACCAAGGCGACGACGGGUAGCCGGCCUGAGAGGGCGACCGGCCACACUGGGACUGAGACACGGCCCAGACUCCUACGGGAGGCAGCAGUGGGGAAUAUUGCACAAUGGGCGGAAGCCUGAUGCAGCGACGCCGCGUGAGGGAUGACGGCCUUCGGGUUGUAAACCUCUUUCAGCAGGGACGAAGCGUAAGUGACGGUACCUGCAGAAGAAGCACCGGCCAACUACGUGCCAGCAGCCGCGGUAAGACGUAGGGUGCGAGCGUUGU
rnacentral:rRNA from 1 species